AGAAAUAAAGGUGCCUUGUCAUAACCACAUCCAUGACUACGGCUAAAGCUGAGAGGUGCUUCUCAACCUUGAAAAGAAUAAAAACUUUUCUCAGAAACACCAUGACCCAGGAGAGGCUGAAUGCACUGGCCAUGCUGUCCAU